GACAAAUUCGGAUCCGUGCAAGAUUCAUUUUGAGAUGACGCUUCCAACAAAAUUUUUUCUAUACCAGAGCUUGAACUCGAGACCCCUGAUUAAAGGUGAAACAGUCACACUACUGCAUCACAAAGAUAGUUCAACUAUACCAUAUUUCUUAUCUAAAGGGAUUCAAAACACACAUUUAGUUAGUUCAAGGUUCAAAUAUGAUAAAUCAUAUAUUGCAAAAACAAAAAUCAGAAUUCAUAUACUGUAUUUCCUAAAUAAUAUAAAUGAUCCUCACAUGCUAAAUAUACUUUAAAUAUGGAAAUUAUUAGAUGGGGUUGCUAACUUGUUAACUAUUUAAGUUUUUCUAAUGUCAAAUUGCCUAAAAAUUCCCAAACCAAACGAAUAUCCUCCAAUAAUUUUAAUCAAUAAAACCACUUUAAUGUCUCCUAAUUAGGUUUAGUGGGACAUAGAGAAUCAUUAAACACGCUCUCAAUUUACAAACACGUAUUACUGUGGGAUCCAAUACUUUUUUGAAAAUAAUUUUUCACCUUUAAAUAUCCUUUUCCUAUUAUUUUAUAAAAAGUAAAAAAGAAGAAGAAGACAUGCAGUAUUAUUAUUACUUCCUUUAUUUCAAGAAAAUAAUUAGGAGGUCGGAGUAGGAAAACAAAACCUUCUAAUUUCGAUCUCAAUUCAGAUAUUAAUUUUUCGAUCUUUCUACAAAAUUAACAUAACAAGAAAAUUGAAAAAGUACUACAAAUUACAGCUUUUUUAUAUUAAAAAUAUUUUUAAAAAAUUGACAUCAAAGAAAAAAUGUUUGGCUCUCUAAUAAUACUUUCCUUUGUACCAACUUAUGUGGUAUUUGAGAGUCAAAUAUAUUUUUCUUUUAAUUAUAUUUUUUAAUAUGCCUUAAAAUCAUUUAUUAUUCUGGCAUAUAGUAAUUCUUACAUAGUUUCAAUGCGCAAAAUUUUAUUUUAAAUAAUUCAUUUCCAGAUUCAAAGUUAAAAUGAAAAAUAUAACUUUCAAAAUUCAACAAUUCCAUUUAAAUUAGAGCUAAGAAAAUAAUGAUGCCUUAUAAAGUGGAAUCAAGAGCAUAAUAUUUAAGGAGUCAUCGUAUUUUUUUCUUGAGUUUUUUUUUUUUUGAAACAUUUUACAAUAUAAAAUUAAUUUUAACGUUUUCAAUAAGGUGUCAUUCAUAGGGAUACCUGAAUUAGUUUAGUAGGUGAUAUAUCAAAAAGGAGAUUAGAGAUCGAUUUUUCCUGUUGAUGUUGAGCUCACUCCAUUGAAUUUGUCUAAUUUUAUUUAUAUCUUUCGUGUAAUUUGUGAACUAUUAUAAAAAUUGAUUUAUUUUGUGAGUCUGUAAAAAUAUCAAAUGGAAAUUUUUCUGGGUAAAAAAAAAAGAAGAAAAUUACACUAGGUCUCCUCAUUAGGUCUUGGGAGUCAACACGCUCACGUUUCAAAACACGUAUUAACGUGGGUCCAAAUGUUUUAAAACUUCUUAAAAUCUUUUCGUAUUUUUGAAAAAAAAUAAUAAUAUCACUAUUGUUUUAAUAUUGGAUUUCAAUAUCAACAUGAUUUCAUAAUCCUUAUAAAAUGAAAAUUUUACAUAUCCAAACUAGAUAAACAAAUACUGUAAAUAAUAACCUUUUAUGAUUUAAAAUACAUAAAAAAAUAUAAAAAACUUAUCAUCAAAGGGAAAAUUAUUUGAUUUCCUAAAUAACGGUAAUAGUUUCUUCUGAAAUGGAAUUGCAAGUAAAAUGUUUAAUGACCCACAAAAAAUUAAAAAUUUUUGGUUGUAAAAUUGAUGUUAAUGUUUUAAACAUUUGCUAAAUAUGAAAAGUUUAUCUUGGAAAAAAAAAUAUAAUCAAACCUCUAUAUAAUAUUUAUUUUUUUAGUAUUUUUUUGAAAUAGUUGUUCAUAUUAUGUAUAUUAUAUGUAUUCUAUAAUAAUAUUUUGCCAUUGUAACCAAGAAAUAUUGGGAAAAAUUGCACAAAUUUAGACUUAAAAUUAGGUCAUUGAUUUUUAUACUUUCAAACUUAAUAAUCAUUUCUUUUCUCAAUAAAAAAAGAAGCUUUUUAUUAUUUUAUAAAUAAUGACUAAUGAGUGGGGCUCCUCUUUCAAUUUGGAUACCUUACAUGGUUGCAUGAUUAUUGGCUAACUUGGCUACACGUGAAAUUGACUCUUUCUUCAUACACUUGUCGGUUCUUUAAUUAAUUCAAUUAAUUUUUCCAAUUUUUUUUUAUGACAAAACAAUUGCAGUUAUUUUUCAGGUGAGCAAGGAAUAAAUUUCAUUUAGUAUUAUCUCUUGUAGUAAAAACUUAAGUAAAAUACAUUUUGUUUAAUCAUGGUUAAGUAAUAUAAACUUUAAAUUCAAACAUAUAGUAUGCAUAUAUUGACUUGGUGUAUACACCAAAUGCGUGUAAAUUUUUUCCCUAAACUAAAUAUGUCCAGUGUGAUAAGCUGGAUUCAAAAUAUAUGCAAGAAAUUUUGAACCUAAAAUUUUUAUGUAGGGAAUACUUGCUCAACUAACUCGAUCAUUGUUGCAGGUAUCUUUACCUUGAUAAUUAAAUUUCAAUAAGCCUGAACUGACCAACAUAUAUUUGCCUUUAGCUAACUAACUAAUUAAUAAUCCCUCGACGAUUAAUAGAUAUUGAUAUUUAAGUUCUUCAUUGUGGAAGAGUUUUUGAAGGAAGUAUUUUACCGUCUAAUAUUUUGAUAAAAUGUUUGUUGAAAGAGUAGAAAAUUGUUGAACAAAUGGUUGUGAUUACGUAAUUUUUUUUUCUUUAUAUUGAAUGUUUAUAUAAAACUAGUUUAAUCAUACGUGUCUCGCACGUGUAACAUUUGAUUAUUUAAAAUUAAAUGAUUUUAUCUAUUGUGGAGAUCUUGAAUGAAUUGUAAUUUAAAUCACUUUUCAAAGUUUUCACACUUUAAUAUAAUAAUGUAAAAAUAAAUAUAUAUUUUAGGGUAAGCACAUAUAUAUUUAACAGAAGUUCCAAGUGGUUGAUAAAUAAUCAUUUUCAUGUUUGUCAUACAGUACCUCUUUUCCUUGUUGUCGGAGGUUAAAAGAGACACAUCAAUUUGAACCACAUAUUUGUGGUACGGUUAUUUUUUUUUUUCUAUUUUAAAAGUUUUUCCUUGUUACAUUUUAAAGCCAAAUCUUUACAAAAUCAUUGAUUACAUUCUUAUUAGAUACUCAAAAUUUUUAAAAAUUUGAUACUUUUUAAAUUUUUCUUAUACUAAUAUUUAUAUAUAUAUAGAGAGAGAGAUUUUUUCAAAUCUUCUUAAAAUCAAAUUUAGUUGAUCUAAAAUUUUUAAGCUAGUGGAAAAAUAUCAGUUGUGACUUCUAAUAAGGAAAGGUACCAUUACUAUAAAUAUAUUUAAUUAAUUUUCAACUCUUAAAUAUUAGGAAGAAAUAGUGAAAAGACGAUUUUGUCUAAAGAAAAAAAACUUUUAAUGAUGGACAAAAAGUUCAAACAAUAUUUCUAAGGCCAUUCAAUACUUUUAAUAUAUUAUAAAUAUAAAUUAUAGAUCAUAGAUUAUAAAUAUAAAUAUAGAUUAAUAAAUGUAUAUAUUUGUAGAUAGAAUUUUGUCACUUAACUAUGGUUAAUUAGUAUAUUAUAUUUUCCCUUCAUUAUAGCAUUUAAUCAUAAUGAAUUGAAUUGAUUAGUACUGACACUCAGAUGGGUGUGUAUAUUUACCAUCAAUCAAUCCUUGAUGCAUGCAAAAUAAAACUUGUAACAAAAAGACCAAAAAUCUAUAUAGUGUGGUAAUGAAAUAUGAUAAAAAGCGGAUGAUCAGAGUUCAAAUCUUUAUCAACACAAUAAUUAACGCUCGAUGAUUUCUUUACACAGGAAUAUUUUUUUUCUCAAACAAACCUAUAGACAACCAUAUUUGAAAUUAAUUUUUUUAAAAAAAGAAAAAAGUGACAACCACAUUUGAACAAAUUCAGAUAUUUUUUUAAAUAUACCUAUUAAAACGGUCAACCCUCCCUCAUAACAGGCCAAUAGUUACAAACCUAAUUAGCCGUUAACCACACAUUAAAUAUGAAAGAAAAAAAAUGAAUGGUAAAAAUGCAAAUUAAAUUAAAUCCCACACAAACACUAAGAAGAAGAAGAAAAAAAUAUUAUUAAAAGGAAAUAAUGAUUAAUUAUUGUGCAAAAGAGACUUGUCUUUUUUCUUUUAAGGCCAAAAGAAGAAGCUAAGCACUAUUAGCAUAGCUCCCUCUUGAGGCCUUUUUUUUUUUUUUUUCUUUUCCUUUCAAUUCCCCUCAUAGAAAAAAUGACUAAACGUUUGCUACUUUGUUAUAGAAGAAUGGUUCAUUUGAAUAUGAAAAGGAAAAUCAUAUGCAAAUUUACUAUACUACAAAAAUAUUUUAACGCAUUUUGGAACAAAGUUCUUGCUUGUUGGUUAGGUAAGUCUAUUAGUUAUAGACAAUUGUCACAUAACCAAUCUUUUCCGGCCACCAGGGGAAUGCCAUCUCCGCCAGGGGCGGAGACGGCGUCUGAUGGAGGGUAUUCUGGGAGUUUGGUGCCCACAUGUUGUUGUGAUCAUUCUAAGGAUUCAUCUGAGGAUGUUGUUGCUUUGAAGAUUAGCCUUUUGGGUGACAAUCAAAUUGGAAAAACAAGUUUCUUGGUAAGUUCUUUUUUUUUUUUUGGUUCCUUUAUAUAUUGUAAACGAGGUAUUAGAGUCAGAUUCAUUUCUAUUCUUGAUAUAUUCGAUGUUGAGUCUUUAUGUUGUGUUUUUCAUGCUCUAGAUGUUCGUUUUGGGGGGAUGAGAUUAGAGUUAGAUUCAUCUCUCUUGAUAUGAUAUGUUUGAUGUUGAGUCUUUAUGUUGUAUUUUUUUCAUGCUCUAGAUGUUCGGUUUGGAUGGAUGGGAUUAGAGUCAUAUUUAUCUUUAUUCUUGAUAUGUUCGAUGUUGAGCCUCUGCGUUGUGUUUUUCAUGCUCUAGAUAUUUGGGUUGGAUGGUUUGGAUUGGAUGGUUUGGAUUAGAGUCAGAUUCAUCUCUAUUCUUGAUAUGAUUAAUGUUGAACCUUUAUGUUGUGUUUUUAUGCUCUAGAUGUUCGAUUUUGGGUGGAUGGAAUUAGAGUUAGAUUCAUCUCUAUUAUUGAUGUUGAGCCUGUAUGUUGUCUUUUCAUGCUCUAGAUGUUUGGUUUGGGUGUGUGGAUGUAAAGAUCGAUGCGAAAUUUAGAUUUCAUGAGUUCCAUCUUUAAGUUGUUACUGUUGAAUUCAUUAUAUUUUUGAAUAUACAAGUUCAUAAUUUAAUAUUUGGUGAAAACUUUCUAAUUUUACAAGUAUAUAUACACAGUAUAUAUUGAAAUUGUUAGGUUCAAUUAAAUCUAGUAGAUAAGAUUGCAGCUUCCUCGGUGUUGGACUAUGUCCUACUGAGGUAAUGGAUUCUUGUCUUUUAUCAGUUUAGACAAUUUUUGUUUCAUAAACUAUUUUUGGGAUCGAAUUAAGUUCAAAAUUUAUUUUUUAUUACUAAAAGAUGGAAAAUCCGUCGGAAUCUAUCUGAGACAAAUUAAAUUUUGAUGGAUUUCUGACCGAAACUGAAAAGAAAAUUCCUAUUUUAUUAGUAGUGUUAUUAACAAUAUUGAAUUAUUUCUCCAUUUCUUGUUUAUGUAUUUGUAGUUUGAUUUGAUCCAUCUUCAAUCUUGUUUUCUGACUUUUUCUUGUGAUUUUUUUUCUUCAAUUGAAGACAAAGUAUGUAGGAAAAGAGAAAGUUGAUGAAGGAUUGUCAACCAAAGGAUUAAAUCAGAUGGACAAAACUUUGUGUGUGAGAGGGACAAGAAUCUCAUAUAGCAUGUGGGAAGUUAAAGGUAUACAUAUCCAUUUAAUCAUCUUUUUUUUUAAAAAAAAAAAUCUUUUAUUAAAACAGAGAAAAAGGUAUAUAUCAACAAAAUAACAAUUUAGAUCUAACAAUGAGUAUACGAUCAAAAUAUUUUUCUUUUUUGAGAAUUUUCGAACUUAUAAGUUACGAGUUUGAACUGUGAAAGUAAUCAUUAAUAGUUGUAUUAGAGUAGACUGUUUACAUCGCAACUCUUGAAUGCGGUCCUUUUCAAAAUUCUGGAACGGGAUGUUUUGUGCAUCGAACUGUCCAUUUUAAUUUUAUGAAAUGCUUAUUAAUAAUAAUGCAGGUGAUGUUUCUGGCCCAACUCAAAUUCCAAUGGCUUGUAAGGAUUCUGUGGCAAUGUUUUUCAUGUUUGAUCUCACAAGUAGAUGUACACUCAGCAGGUAUGAGAUUUAUUUCCCCUAAAGAAUAAUGUUUAAGUUAUAUUCACUGACACUAUAAUGGAUUUUUUUUUAUGUUAUCAGUGCAUUUUAACGUGUUGAUUUUUCGUGCAGUGUCCUUAGCUGGCAUCAACAAGCACGACAAUGGAAUCAGACAGCAAUUUCUGUAAUGAUAGGGACAAAGUUUGAUGAUUUUGUGAAAUUGCCAUUGGAUUUGCAAUGGACAAUUGCAAGCCAGGUAUAUAUAUAUCAUUCUCAGUUCUUUCCUAUUAAUUAGGGAACUUAGCCUACAAUCUGGGUUGUUUCUCUCUUGAUUUUGAACUUUAGCAUCUAAAAAAUCUGUAUGUACAAACGAUCUAGGCCUGUAUUUGAAGUUUUUUGGAGUUGGUAGGAUUUCAGCACUUUGAGCUAAUGACAUAGUAGUUAGAAUUUAGAGACAGCAAAGAAUGUUAGUUCCAAUGUAAAUACUAUUUGAGAACUUUCUUGUAUAGUGUUUUACUCUUGUAUUUCUUUCAAACUUAUAAUAAAAAUGAUUUUCUUGAUCCGAGGAUGUAUCGACAACCUCUCUACCCCGUAAAGGUAGAGGAAAGGUCUGCGUAUACAUGGUACACCCCGCCCUCCCCAAACUUCACAUAUAGGACUAUAUUGGAUAUGUUGCUAUUGUAUCAAUUUAAUGCUUUUGAUGUUGAUACUUAUGGUGUUAUACAAUGUGACUUUGAACAGGCAAGAGCAUAUGCAAAGGUGUUAAAUGCACCACUAUUCUUCUCAAGUGCAACCUACAACAUUAAUGUGAACAAAAUCUUCAAGUUCAUCACUGCUAAGCUCUUCAAUUUACCAUGGUCAUUGGAGAGAAAUCUCACAAUUGGUGAACCCAUAAUUGACUUUUAGGUUUUCUCUUGUUUUCUGUAAUUAAGAAAGAAAAAGAAAAAAAAAGGAAUUUUGCUUUUUUGUUGUUAAUUGUAGAUAGAUUUGAGAGAAUAAAAAAGAUUCAGAGAAAAAGAAAUGAUGAUUCACAUAGCCAACCGGUCACUGGUAAAUUGUUGCAACCAGUGAAAUUUCGAGUUGUCUUCAUAUGACAUUUUAUUCAUUUUGGAGAAAAUAUUUCCAUUUUCUUUUUCUCAAUUUGCUUCUCAAGUGUACAAUGGUGUUGCAAUUUGCUAGUUUUUUUAAAGCAAAAGUCACAUCUCAAUGAUCAAUGAAGGCAAAGAAUACUAGGUUAUGCGUAACCAGGUGUAACGUGUCAAAGGUUAUUGUAAAGGGGAUAGGUUGUUUGGUGCAUCGAACAAUUGAAGAAGUUUGAAGAGAAAGGCUAAUUUUAUCCCAACUGCCUACUCUUUGUAGAUAAAGUCCCCUGAUCUAUGUAUUAGUUGAGACUACGAGGUAACAAAUAGCAAAUAGAAUAGUCAUACAAGUUGAACCCAACAACAAUCAAGUCAAUGCUCAAGGAUUAAGAGGUGAAUUUAAGGACUGAUAUUGUCCUUAUAAAGGGAAAAAAGACUCAUCAAAACUCUUUAUCAGAAAAGAACCAGUCAACAAUAUCUUAGGUCUCAAGUUCAAGCAUUGGAUCAAGCAAACUAUGUCUAAUAUUUAAGUAGAGCAAGAUAGAUCCAUCAAUUCCUUUCGAAGGUUGCAAUUGGCUCCAACGAAUUUCUUAAUCAUAGAAAACUCUUCUCAGAAAAGCAAUUGCUCAUGAAAGAGCAAUACAAGACCAUUUAGAAAUGGAAAAACACACACAAUUCCCAUAUGAAAAUGUUACAUGAAGAGCUUUAUAUCUUUAAGACAACACAAUAUCAUCAAGAAUAUGCUUUCCCAAAAGUCAAUACUUUCAAUAUAAAGCAAAAGUAUUUCAGUAUUUGAAAUGGAGAACAAUAACUAACAAGACAGUAUAGUGUCUCAAAGGUCGAUCAUAUCUUCUAUUUCAGCAUAACACAUAUAGAUAGUCAUCAUGCCUUCUUGCACAUUAAUUAAGCAGAUUCCUGAUUUCCUGUCACACGAAGAUAACGAGAUACUUACGGAAAUAACAAAGCUAUGCUCAAACAACAAGGCUCUAUUCUAGUUGAACUCUCAUGGAGGGGGUGGGUGGGGGGGGUGAGGGGAGUCCAACUGCAAGUAAUAGUAUGGUUCAGUAGGCUCUUCCCUGCACAUUGAUUAAGCAUGUGAAAUAAGUCAUCCAUAAAAUUAGAAAAUACUUCUUUUUUCAAUAGAUUCAUAAAAUAUAUCAACUCAAAGGAACAAAGACAAAUCUCAAUUGGUAAGGAUUUGAAAAAAGAAUUACAACAAUAAGAGAACUAACAACAAUGAAAUAAUGUAAAUGGAGGGCAGUAUACAACGUACAACAAAAUGACAAUCAAAUAAUGCAAUAAGCGAAGCACACACACAAUAAAGAAGACUAAUCUCAAUUCAUCGCGUAUAAUUCAUAGCUUCAUUUUUGAAUGCACCUUUCUAUUAAGAGAUAUUGAUGCAUGAAAACAACCUAUGUAUUGAGAAACACUUACAAAUUGGACACAUAUCAGAAGAAGAAGAAAUGAUGUAACAAAGGAAAAGAAAUUUUAUUUUUGAAAAAAUUACAGCGGUUUCUCCCCUUUUUUCAAAUUUAUCCUACACACCUUUAGUUUACCACACACUUCACCUUAUUUGACAAUACUCCACUAAAAAAUAAAAAUAACAACUUCAUAACAAAUUUUUCCUAACUCCUUAAUCACGUUUUUUUUCAUUGAUAACCGACUAACAAUACAACACACCCACGAGAACACACAUAUUACAUACACACAUCUACUACCAUAAUGGGGGGAGUGAAGAAAAAUGAGUGAAAAUAGUGAGAGAUCAGGGAAAAAAAGUGAAGGCGAGAGAGAUCAAAAUGCGCAAGAGAAGAAACCAGCGAAGAGAGGAAAAUGAGGAGAGGAGCGGUGGAGAAACAUUUUUUUCUGGCGAGAAUCCACUGCCACCGGAAAUUUGACCCGUUCUAUGAUUCUCAUCACCGCAUGAGCUCAGCGAAGCUCCGUUGAAACAAAGGUGAGAAAGAUCAAAACGCGCGAGAGAAGAAGCUGGCGAAGAGAGGAAAACAAGGAGAGGAGCGUCAGAGAAAUAUAUUUUUCCCAGCGACAAUCCACUGUCAUCAAAAAUUUGAUCCGUUCUCUAAUUCUCAUCACCGCAUGAGCUCAAUGAAACUCUGUCGAAACGAAGGCGAGAGAGAUCAAAACGUGUGAGAGAAGAAGCCGGCAAAGAGAGGAAAACGAGGAGAGGAGCGUUGGAGAAACAUUUUUUUCCUGGUGAGAAUCCAUUGCCACCAGAAAUUUGACCCGUUCUCUAAUUCUCAUCACCCCAUGAGCUCGACAGAGCUCAUCAAAAUGAAGAUGAGAGAGAUCAAAAUGCGCGAGAGAAGAAACCAGCAAAGAAAGGAAAACAAGGAAAGGAGCGGUGGAGAAAUAUUUUUUUUUCGGCGAGAAUCCAUUGCCACCAAAAAUUUGACCCGUUCUCUGAUUCUCAUCACCGCAUGAGCUCGACGGAGCUCAAUUGAAACUAACGCGAGAGAGAUCAAAACGUGCGAGAGAAGAAACCGACGAAGAGAGAAAAAUAAGGAGGGAGCGGCGAAGAAACAUUUUUUUCCGGCGAGAAUUCAGUGCCACCGGAAAUUUGACUCAUUCUCUGAUUCUCAUCACCGCAUGAGAGCGAUGGAGUUCCGUUGAAACGAAGGCGAGAGAGAUCAAAAUGCGCGAGAGAAGAAACCGGCGAAAAGAGGCAAACGAGGAGAGGAGCGGCGGAGAAACAUUUUUUUCGACGAGAAUCCACUACCACUGAAAAUUUAACCCGUUCUGAUGCUCAUCAUCGUAUGAGCUCGACGGAGCUCUGUCGAAAUGAAGGCGAGAGAGAUCAAAACGCGCGAGAGAAAAAACCGACGAAGAGAGGAAAACGAGGAGAGGAGCGGCGGAGAAAUAUUUUUUUCCCGACGAGAAUCUACUGCCACUGAAAAUUUGACCCGUUCUCUGAUUCUCAUCACUUCAUGAGCUCGAUGGAGCUCCAUCGAAAUGAAGGAGAGGGAGAUCAAAACACGCGAGAGAAGAAAUCAGCGAAGAGAGGAAAAUGAGGAGAGGAACGACGGAGAAACAUUUUUUUUUCGGCAAGAAUCCACUGCCACCAUAAAUUUGACCCAUUCUCUGAUUCUCAUUACCGCAUGAGCUCGACGGAGUUCCGACGAAAUGAAAACAACAGUUCCCACUCUAAUCCGUUCCAAGAACCCACCAGAAAUUCCAAAAAUUCGAUCAAUCUUCUCUUCUCCAUCACCGCUUGAGCUCACCUCAGUGGCAAAACAAAAAACGCAAACCCAACUCCGAUUCCGGCGAGACCUCUUUAAGCUUAAUUCAAAAUUUGUGAUUUGGGGUUCGUAUUGAGAUUUUUCAGCUGGUUUAAGUCUGUUCGGGGUUAUGGUCCUCGAUACCAAAUUGGUUUGUUCGUCGUUGAGGUUUUUGUUCGAGGAUUUCGAGCUUAGGCUUCACUAACUCACUAUUAUCAAAAAUCAGUUCUGCUAAGGUCCGAUUCUUAAUUCUAUUUUAUUUUUAUGUUAUCUUAACAUGGUUGAUGAUGUGAUUUGGUGGUAUGUAUUGAGUGCACUUGAGCAAUGUUGAUUAUCGUGGCUUUGAAUGUUUGAUUUUAUCUUAAAAUUAAUUAAUUAGAUGAUUGAGAAAUAAAUUUAGGACCAAAAUUAAAAAUUGAUAAAAGUGAAUAUUGGUUUAUUUAAUUCAUUAACGGUUUUUUAAUUCAAAAUAAGCAUCGAUUUUGAUAAAUUCAAUAGUAUCAUGUUUAGAUCGAGAAUUGAUAGAAAAAUUUUAGGUUUGUGGGUAGGAAAAUCGUACGAUUCUACAUUAUCGAAUGUUGGAAUGCUUGUUUUAAAUGAUUUUACUAUUUUUAUCACAUUUUAUCAAAUAUAUUUAUUCAUCGGGGAAUGUCCCGAGAUUAUAUGUAUAUAUUUAUUAGGGAAUGUCUCGUGAAAUUCUAUAUUUGGAAGACAGUUCGUGGAAAUAAUCCAGAAUGUCGGGUGGACUUUGGAGCAUAACUUAGGAUUAGUGUAGGAUAAAAUAAGUUUUCAUUUUAGUACUUUUUCAUUUUUGGGCCUAUAUAAUUGAACUAAACAUUAUUUUUUUUUGGAAUUUUUCAUUUGUUUGUUUUCUUACGUGCUCUUCUGUGAAGUUUAUAAAUCCCAUAGUGUCAUAUUAGUCGAUAUAACUUGACAAAACAACCGUAAUCGAACCACAGAACUGAGGGGUGUCUAACAUCUUCCCAUUGGUAAAUAGAAUUCCUUAGCUGUAAUUUCUGUCUGUGGAUCAGUUUUAAGAGUCAACUCUUUUUUUUUUAAAGGAAAAAAGAAUUUAAAAGAUGACUUGAUACACAAAACAAUGUCAAGUGAUGACUCUGAGUUUAAUUGCAUUUUUUUUUGAAACAAAUUUUCUUUUGUUACUUUAAUAAUUAAAAACCUUUUCGAAUUUUAAAGGCAAAAUAAUUUUUUGAUAAAAAAGGGUGUCCCAGCUCUGGCACUCUAUUGGAAAUUUUUUGAGAAUUUGAGCUUCAUUGUUGCGUUGUGUCGACUUAGUUUGACAUUAUGAGAGUAUAGACAUGUUGUUUGUUUAUCGUUUUAUCAUUGUUGAGUGUCUACGUGCUAUGUGUUUAUUAUUUUUUUUUUAUGUGUUACCAUUUUAUAUCUGGCAUCAAAUGCAUUACCUUGAGUCAUUUCUUUCGCAACAAGUCCCGUAGUACAUGUUGUGUGCACAACCUUCGUUGAGUUACCUUUAUUUUAAAAGGGGGAGCUGUUGGUUGGUAUGGAGUGGGCGAAAAACAAUUGCAGGCUCCAUCGACUAUACGCUCCCCUGAAUAGCCUUGUUAAUUGAACCUCAACCUAGGUCGGUCUUUAAGUCAUUCUUAUUUGCAUCAUGAUUGAGACCUAGUGGGAUCCGUUUGGUCCUUUGUGGAAACUUGUUCCUAAACAUUCCUAUGUGCUACUUGUUGCAUCUUUGAGGCAAAAAAGUCAGUUGGCGGACUAAAUUAGGGAAUCAUGUUCUAAAAUUGAGGGAAUGAGUGUGUUUAGGCAAAGAAAGGUCAAAAGAAAAAAGAAGUCAAAUUUAGAGUCGAAAAAGAGAAGAAAAAAAAAGAGUUUCGUAGUUUAUAAGAGUUUUUUAUGGCUUUUAUAUUUCACAAUAAAAAAUUUAAAAAGAUUUUUCACCUUUUGCACGCAUUUUCUCAAAAAUCAAAACAUCAAGAAAAUUUUUUCUUUAUUUUCUUCAGCAUGCA
rnacentral:lncRNA from 1 species